UCAGAUUUCCAGGUUUGGGUUUGGAGAUUUAUGCAACUGCCUAUUAACUUGAGACAAGUGGGUAACAUCAGAGGUCGCUGAGGAUGCCUGGGCAAGGACAGACUACACUGAGGCACAAUCCAGGUUGCCCCUCGGCCUCCAACGUUCGAGUGAAAGCAGACCAAGCGUGUCCAAUCUCUCCUCACGGCCAACACCCUCUAAACCAGAUUACGGUGUCUGGACUCAGCAAGGGAACAUGGAACUGCUUCUGAAAUUAACAUGCCCGGCCUUCCAUGAGACUGCUUCUGAAAUGGACAUAAGAGUUGAACACGCUCAGGCCUUGCACAC